rnacentral:rRNA from 1 species
AGAUGGCGACCGGCGCACGGGUGAGUAACACGUAUCCAACCUGCCGAUAACUCGGGGAUAGCCUUUCGAAAGAAAGAUUAAUACCCGAUAGUAUAAUGAAACCGCAUGGUCUUAUUAUUAAAGAAUUUCGGUUAUCGAUGGGGAUGCGUUCCAUUAGGCAGUUGGUGAGGUAACGGCUCACCAAACCUUCGAUGGAUAGGGGUUCUGAGAGGAAGGUCCCCCACAUUGGAACUGAGACGCGGUCCAA